CCCUUAGAUGUCCUGGGCCGCACGCGCGUUACACUGAUGCAUUCAACGAGCUUAUAACCUUGGCCGAGAGGCCUGGGCAAUCUUGUUAACGUGCAUCGUGAUAGGGAUAGAUUAUUGAAAUUAUUAAUCUUGAACGAGGAAUUCCCAGUAAGUGCGGGUCAUCAGCUCGCGUUGAUUACGUCCCUGCCCUUUGUACACACCGCCCGUCGCUGCCCGGAACUGAGCCGUUUCGAGAAGACUGAGGAUUGCUGACUUGAGGCCUUCACGGGCUUCUAGUCGGUGAAAAUCAAUUUAAUCGCAGCGGCUUGAACCGGGCAAAAGUCGUAACA
rnacentral:rRNA from 1 species